UAAUGGGAGACACCGCCCCAAUUUGCUCGCUAGGUGGCGCAAAUGUACUAGUGGUUAUAAGUCACAACCGGAAGUCAGCUUUCAAAGUGGCUCGUAUCGAAGAUUCACUCGACCGUUAUCAGCUAUGCCAAGAUACUGCUCUGUUCCGGGUUGUAAAAAUAAGAUUGGAGGACAUAAAUACCCUUCAGACCCCGACCUGCAACAAAAGUGGCGCGUGGCGGUAAGAAGAGUUGAUGUUCCAACAAAGAAUCUGUGGAAGCCAGGGACAGGCGACGUAGUCUGUAGAGCUCACUUCACUGAUGAUGAUUUCGUGGAUACACUAUUAGGUUCGUAAAAACAGUAUUAUUUUGUCUGUUGAGAAUGAUAAAUAAUUAUUUGUGCAUGGUUUUCUUACUGUUUUUUUGUAUGUUGGCAAAGAAAAGCGCAAAAGGAGAAUAUAUUAGCCUAUAACAAAUAUCGAAUAGCCAAUAUCCUCAUGAUACUGGUAACUGGGCCCUGUUUAUCAGCUGUUCAUUCACAGACCCAAACAUUAAUGAAUAGGCCUAAACAUUUGAUUGUAUAUUUAUUUAUGUAUGUUAUUAUGGAAACAAUCUUUCUUUUAUUAACUAUAACACCGAAGUAAAUUUAUUCAUAGACAAAAAUAUACAUGUCAAAAUGUGAUUUAUUAAUAUUGAAUAGCCAAUAUCCUCAUGCUACUGUUCAACAGCUGUUCAUUCACAGACCCAUUUACCUUAGUAAAUAUGAUUAAGUUUCUGCUUGCAUAAAAUAAUGUAAAGAUAUUUCUAUAAUCAGAGCUCCAGAUAACUUUUUUUGAGUAAAUGAGUUUUAACUCUAGGGUUUCUAUUUUAAAUGGGUUAUAAGUAUAACAUUUUUCAUAGGGUAACCAAUAUUAUUUCAAUCAUCCAUUCAUGACUCUAUUCGGAUUUUCCCAAAAUUAGUAAACAUUUAUCAUUAGAUGUAUAUAACUGUACUUAAUAUAUAGGCUUGACUCAGAUAGUAAAUUAGCUCAUAAUUGUGUUUCGGAAAUUAGCCCUGUUUUACGAUUGCUGAAAAAGCUACAUUGGGUAUUAACACGUGCUGUUUUCAAACAUUUGAGUUUUUCCUUAAAUGCAUGCGUUUUUGUACACAAGAUAAUCAGUGUGUAAUUGGGUUUUUAAUAUUUUACACAAAUGUGCAGCUUAUCUGUAGCUCUGUAUAGCGUACACACACAUUUUGAUAAUGAAUAUCAUAAAAAACAACCAUGAAUGUGUCUUCAACUUGUGUAUUGUUGAUUUAUGCCAUGUUUGCAAGUGAAUUUAGAUAUUAUUAUUUUGGUUGAUUCCUUGUUAAUGUUUGUUCUUGUUGCUUUGUGUUAAAUUCCUGUUUUUAAGGAGCCAUACAAACGAUGACAAGCCUGAAGCUUCCGACAGAAGAAUUACUCAACGAGGCCUGGGAAACUCAGUGAACGAAGUCGUCUCCGGGCAGCUGCGGUUCCCUCCAUCUUCCCACAUACAUCAUGCACCAGUACAUCAGCACUACCAACUCGACCAAAGAGGGCACAUCAACUCCGUGAAGAAGAAGCCAACAUAGCUAUAUUGAAUGUGUCGUCGGAGGUGGAAAUCGGCAUUGGAGAGGAUUGUGCUAUCACAAGCCCAAGUAGCUUGAAUGAGCCUCUUGAAACAUGUCAAAGUGACUCUCAGUCUACUCAGUGCAGUUUGUUAGGAAGUUGUUCCAUAGAAACCUACAUAAAUAAUCCCAAAGCUGUUUUGUACUUUGCUGGUUUCCAAGAUUAUGACCAUUUCAUGUUUUUCUUUCACUCGCUUGGUCCAGCAGUUUUUGAACUGAACUAUCAAUGUGAACUCUUGCACCCAAAAGACCAACUGUUUUUGACUCUAAUGAAAUUAAGACAGGCCAAGGAUGACAUUGAAUUAAGUUUCUUGUUUGGCAUAUCAUCAUCCACUGUUUCCCAAAUUGUAAUAACAUGGAUCAAUUUCUUAUAUUUCCAACUGAAGGAACUACAGAUAUGGCCAUCAAGAGCAACUGUUGAUGAUCACAUGCCAACAGAUUUCGGUAAGAAGUUUAAAAACACUAGAGUCAUUUUGGAUGCAACAGAGAUACCAAUAAAGAAGCCAUCUCAUGUUGAUGCUCAGAGCAUGACAUGGUCCAGCUAUAAACAUCAAAACACAUUGAAAACCAUGAUCGGUUGCACACCCAGGGGGGCAGUCUCAUUUAUUAGUGAAUCUUUUGGGGGGUCUGCAAGUGACAGACAGAUCAUAGAACAGUCUCCUUUACUUAACCCAUCACAUGGUAUGUUUGAAAAACAGGAUAGCAUUAUGGCUGACAGGGGCAUUAUGGUUCAAGACUUAUUUGCAGCCCAAGAUGUUCAAGUAAACACCCCAACUAUGUUAAAAGGCAAGUCACAGUUAGAACCAGAAGAUGUUGUUAAGGAUAGAAGAAUUGCUUCUAAAAGAAUCCAUGUUGAACGUAUAAUUGGUCUGAGUAAAACUU